GAAGUCCUGGCUUGAUGGAAGACUGCCAAGGCUGUUCAUGUGCAGCCCUCGCCGAACAGACGCUAGCAUCGACUAGGCCGAGGUUCAGGUCUAUGGCAGUCUCCAAAGGUUGUUGAUGGCAUACACGGAGGGUAUCUCCAAGGAGAAGGGGUGGGGUUAUGUAGAGAAGAUAGUGCUUCUUUCUAUGGGUACAGAGCUGUCCGAAGUAAGUUCAGAAUGGAAAGAGCACCACCAAGUUCCGCCUGGUUCUGAACAGCCACAAAAUGAACACAGAAUUCAGAAGAAUAGUAAUAUGAAGGACCUAGGCAGGGUAGCCACACGUUUUGAGUUCGCAAUGACAUUUGAAUAAGAUCACAAAUAUUCUUGUUUUGCGCAAGGUCGCCUAGUUUACUCACCAUAUUGGUUACGUUUUGCACAGCAGAAAUAUUUUUUUUUAUCAGACUGAAACCUCAUUGUUAAUUGAACAAAUGUGGCUGUCUGUGUAAGUCCUUCGUGUUUUUAUUCUUUUUUAUUUGUGUGUUCAUUAUUUCAUGUUUUUCUCGUGAUUUAGUCUGUGUUUUUGUUACUUAUGCGUUCAUCAUAUCUUGAAGUUUUAAUUAAAGAUAUGAUGCCCUCGCCAUUUUCUAGUCUGGGAAAUGGUGGUGACCUCGUCGUGUUCAAGGAGCAGUAAUGAACUUUCCAUCUUGUAUUGCUUCCGGCGAACAAUGGUGUCUUUGUGCGUGUGUGUGUGUGCGAUGUGUUGA